UAUAACCUCUCGAGCAGAAUGAACGUUAAGUAUUUUUUGGCAAAAUUGAGAGAGCACAUAUUUUUCUUUAAUAUUGAUUGGCUGGCUGUUAAUUCUAAACAAUAUAAUUGAUAUUUAGAAAACUGAAAAUAGUCAAUUAAACUUAUACAGACAAGAAUAACAAAAUAAACUGACAUGUAAAAUGGUGAAAAAAAUAAACGGCAGUCUUUAUUCUAAAACAAGUUACUUUUUCCUUCGCAUGUUUCCAUAAAAAUACAAAGUUAUCCGUAGAAGUAACAAUAAACGUUUUACAUAAAAUUGCAAGGCAAGAAAAAAUGUUCCAAGCAUUAGUACAUGUAUCAAGAUUGCAUAAAAAACAACAACAAUAUACCAAAAAAUUAGAACCGCCGUUUUCUUCUUAACUUGGAAAAUUUUGUAGGCACAAAACAGUAUACCUGAGUUUUAAAAAAUUGAUUUAUUUUUCUUAAUGUAAUUGACAGUGGUUUACGCUUAUAUGAACCAAACGUCAGUGGCGAGUCGUUAACUUUUGAACCUGUUGCAUCUGUGUUUGACUGGGAAAUAACAUUCCCUUGCUCCAAUAAUUACAGAUCGACGUUACUUCAGAGCAAGUUAAUAAAAAGUUAAUUAAAUGUGUGAUAAUUGUAUAUAGUCAUAAAGGAUUUAGGCACUGUUAUAGAAUUUUUAAAUAAAAAAAUAAUAAUGCUUAGACCUUUUGAGAGGGUACAAAGCAGCUACAGAUACAUAAUCAAACAACUUUACUACGAUUGCAUAGAUGUACACAACACCAAUGUAAGUCAUGUGACUGAGCCUCAUUUUGGAUGUACGUCAUGUGACUGAGUCUCAUUUUCAUAUAAGGUCAUUUAUAACUGACAGGUCUCACACUAUCCAAGUCUACUGUAUUUUCCAACCAUGUGUUGACAGUUUGGACACGUGUGUGUAACGUCUUUGCAGGCAUCAACACAAAAUGGAAUAAAACAACAAAUCCAAAAUCUACAAAAAAAAA
rnacentral:lncRNA from 1 species